UUAUGCUUGACCCCUUGUUUUUCUUUUUUCUGUUUUUUUCGUAUUUGAGCUCCUUGUAAGUUGUAUGUUUUGGCAAUGAAAUUUCAUUCCUUUCGACCAAAAAAAAUCAUGAAUUGCUUGCUCUGCGUUAGGAGCUGGUCGAUGACGACGAAAAUUAUGGCGAAAAGAUCUCCAGGGCUCACGCUUCUCCAAAAGGGUAAUCCUUCUUCUCUCUGUUCUCUGUUUGGGCUCGUCUUUUUCAGAAGCCAGUUUUGCUCUUUUGCUGUCAAUCGUUGUCAUACUGUUAGUGUUAAAGAAACCAUUGAUUUGGAGGAUUUGGUAAAAACGCGUUGUAAAUCUGGUAAUCUUGGGUUAGAUGAAGCACUGGGUCACUUCGAUUCCGUAAUUCAAAUGAAACCCCUUCCCUCGAUUUGGGCUAUUAAUCAUUUGCUUGGGGCAGUCUCCAAGAUGAAUCAGUGUUCCGCUGUAGUUUCUAUGUAUAAACAGAUGCUGGCUUGUGUUGGCUUACACCCGGAAGUCAGUACACUGAGUGUUGUUAUCAAUUGCUUGUGCCGUAUGAAUCGGGUGGACUUGGGUUUCUCUGUUUUAGCAACUAUCCUUAAACAUGGUCUUCAGCCCAAUGCUUAUACUUUGAAUGCUUUGCUUCAUGGGGUUUGCGAGUACAGGUCGCUCUCUGAGGCAAUGGAUUUGUUCCAGAAAAUAGAAGAGAAAGGAUUAGCAUGCAAUGAAAUCACUUACGCUACUAUAAUUAAUGGGUUGUGCAGAGCUGGGAAAACAUGUAUGGCGCUUGAGAUACUCGAGCAAAUGUAUGAAGAUGGAAGGUUUAAGCCUGUCCCUCAAUGCUAUAAUCCAAUCAUUGACCGCUUAUGCAAAGAAAGAAGAAUAGAUGAGGCGCUGACCCUAUUUCAAGAUAUGAUCAACAAAAGUGUUGCGCCAGACAUGGGUCUUUGGACACGAGCACUUGCUCUGUUUGAAAUAAUGAAAAACAAGGCAUAAAGCCUGAUGUUUUCACUUUCAAUUCCUUAAUUGAUGCUUCAUGCAAGUCUGGUAAGUGGGAAGAAGCUGUGUUGGAUGCUUUGUGCAAGGGAAGACGGCAGAGGCAAUUAAACUUGUGGAAGAAAUGUUCCUUAGAGGUGUAAAGCCUGAUGUCGUCACCUACAACUCCUUAAUUAAUAGCCUCUGCCAUUCCUCACAAUGGAAAGAAGCCACAAGGUUGUUUAAUAGAAUGUUGGAUGAAGGAAUUGCACCAAAUGUUGUAACCCUUAACACUGUAAUACAUGCUCUUUGCAAGGAGAGACGGACCGAGGAAGCCUUGCUUCUUGCUAUAAAGCCUUGCUCAACAGCUAUAGCAAGCUAAAAGGAUAGGUGAAGCUUUGAGGCUCGUUGAGGAAAUGAUCAAACAAGGGGUGAUGUCUGAUGUGGAAACCCUAAAAGCUUUGAGAGGUUUGCGUCCUAAAAGGCAUGUUGUAUCUGCAGAAUAGUUCCCCAUGCGACCGCUAGGACUUGCAGAAUAGUUACAAUCCUGUUAAAUCUUUUAACUGCUAAUUAUGUCAUUGGAUUCUAAACUUGUAUGACCAAGCAAUAUUAGUGAAAUGAAGUGGUUUCAAACAAGUAUAGGAUCCUUGGUGCUGAAAAAUACAUUCAAUAUUCUUAAUCUCACCGAUGGAUCCAUAAACAAGAACAGGAUCCUUUUCACAGGUACUAACUCUCCCAUGAACUUUCAACCACAUCCAAAUCUUUACACUGCUCUUAGUGCAUAGUGCAAGUUCAAGAAUGAAGAGAUAUCAAGAAUUUACGAUUCGGCGCAAUGUUAUAUUGACACAUCAAAGCGAUA